rnacentral:misc_RNA from 1 species
CUUCUUCUUCUUCUUCUUCCUCGUGAUUUCUUCCUUCUUUCCCUCUUCUACCUUUCUCGGAAUUCUUCUUCUAUCUUCUUGAUUUUGUUUUCUUUCUUGAAGUUCUUGAAUCUACAACACUUAGAUUCUUUCCUCCUCUUUUUCUAUCUUUUUUUCUCAACUAGUUUCAUUCUCAGAUUCAUUCUAGGGUUUCCAUUUCCCUGUUUCUUGUUUUGGGUUCCUGUUUCAGCUACCCUUUUCUAUUCCAAUCUGAUUUCUUUUUUCCUCUACUUUCUUCUACUUUCUCGAUGAUUUUUCUUAAAUUCUUGCUCUUCCUCAAUUGCUCUUUCUCUGUUCCUCUGGUUAUGGAAGAGCAAUCUUGGAAACAAAAGAUUCUUGCUUUAGAACAUGGCAAAAGAUAAAUUAUUUCAAAGAUACGAAAAGUUCACUGAUCAAAAAUUGGAAAAUUUGAGAAAUUGAUUUGGAAGAAAAUAGGCAAAUGGAAGGAAUCGAUUCACGGGAAAAGGGAACAUGUUAUAGUCUUUACUAAUGAAGAUGCACUGAAGAAUGAUGUCAGGGAACAAAUAACCAAUGAUGAACAACUUCUUGGAGCUUUUGAAAAGCUAAGUGAAGAACAAGAUGCCUCAGGUGAAGUUUCCAAUAAGAAUGAUAAGGACUCUGAGGAAGAGAAUGAUAAUGAUGGUGAUGAUGGGCAACUUGAGUCCGCAAUGGGGAAAACAGCAAAUUGAAUGUAAAAGAAUUGCACAACUCAUUCCAAAAAUUUUGCUGCAUAAAUUCUUGGAGAUGUUCUUGG